rnacentral:rRNA from 1 species
AGAACGAACGCUGGCGGCAUGCUUAACACAUGCAAGUCGAACGAGACCGCUGACUUCGGUUGGCGUGUCUAGUGGCGCACGGGUGCGUAACGCGUGGGAAUCUGCCCUUAGGUACGGAAUAACUCAGAGAAAUUUGUGCUAAUACCGUAUGAUGUCGCAAGACCAAAGAUUUAUCGCCUAAGGAUGAGCCCGCGUAAGAUUAGCUUGUUGGUGAGGUAAAAGCUCACCAAGGCGACGAUCUUUAGCUGGUCUGAGAGGAUGAUCAGCCACACUGGGACUGAGACACGGCCCAGACUCCGUACGGGAGGCAG